rnacentral:rRNA from 1 species
UACGUAGGGGGCUAGCGUUGUCCGGAUUUAUUGGGCGUAAAGAGCGUGUAGGCGGCCAGGUAGGUCCGGUGUGAAAACUCGAGGCUUAACCUCGAGAUGUCAUCGGAAACCAUCUGGCUAGAGUCCGGAAGAGGAGAGUGGAAUUCCUGGUGUAGCGGUGAAAUGCGCAGAUAUCAGGAAGAACACCAGUGGCGAAGGCGGCUCGCUGGGCCGGUCCUGACGCUGAGACGCGAAGGCGUGGGGAGCGAACGGG